rnacentral:rRNA from 1 species
UAGGGAAUCUUCGGCAAUGGACGGAAGUCUGACCGAGCAACGCCGCGUGAGUGAAGAAGGUUUUCGGAUCGUAAAGCUCUGUUGUAAGAGAAGAACGAGUGUGAGAGUGGAAAGUUCACACUGUGACGGUAUCUUACCAGAAAGGGACGGCUAACUACGUGCCAGCAGCCGCGGUAAUACGUAGGUCCCGAGCGUUGUCCGGAUUUAUUGGGCGUAAAGCGAGCGCAGGCGGUUAGAUAAGUCUGAAGUUAAAGGCUGUGGCUUAACCAUAGUAGGCUUUGGAAACUGUUUAACUUGAGUGCAAGAGGGGAGAGUGGAAUUCCAUGUGUAGCGGUGAAAUGCGUAGAUAUAUGGAGGAACACCGGUGGCGAAAGCGGCUCUCUGGCUUGUAACUGACGCUGAGGCUCGAAAGNGUGGGGAGCAAACAGGAUUAGAUACCCUGGUAGUCCACGCUGUAAACGAUGAGUGCUAGGUGUUAGACCCUUUCCGGGGUUUAGUGCCGUAGCUAACGCAUUAAGCACUCCGCCUGGGGAGUACGACCGCAAGGUUG